UACGUAGGCAGCGAGCGUUGUUCGGAGUUACUGGGCGUAAAGGGUGUGUAGGCGGUUGUUUAAGUUGGUGUGAAAUCUCCGGCUCAACUGGGAGGUGCGCCGAAUACUGAAUGACUUGGAGUGCGGGAGAGGAAAGUGGAAGUUCCUGGUGUAGCGGUGAAAUGACGUAGAUAUGUGGAGGAACACCGAUGGCGAAGGCAGCCCCUGGGUCAGAUUGACGCUACAUGCACGAAGCGUGGGAGCAACGAAGGAU
rnacentral:rRNA from 1 species